rnacentral:rRNA from 1 species
AGUGAACGCUGGCGGUAGGCCUAACACAUGCAAGUCGAACGGCAGCACAGAGGAGCUUGCUCCUUGGGUGGCGAGUGGCGGACGGGUGAGGAAUACAUCGGAAUCUACUCUGUCGUGGGGGAUAACGUAGGGAAACUUACGCUAAUACCGCAUACGACCUACGGGUGAAGGCAGGGGAUCUUCGGACCUUGCGCGAUUGAAUGGGCCGAUGUCGGAUUAGCUAGUUGGCGGGGUAAAGGCCCACCAAGGCGACGAUCCGUAGCUGGUCUGAGAGGAUGAUCGGGCACACUGGAACUGAGACACGGUCCAGACUCCUACGGGAGGCAGCAGUGGGGAAUAUUGGACAAUGGGCGCAAGCCUGAUCCAGCCAUGCCGCGUGGGUGAAGAAGGGCUUCGGGUUGUAAAGCCCUUUUGUUGGGAAAGAAAGCCAGCUGGUUAAUACCCGGUUGGGAUGACGGUACCCAAAGAAUAAGCACCGGCUAACUUCGUGCCAGCCGCCGCAGUAAGAC